rnacentral:rRNA from 1 species
AUUGAACGCUGGCGGCAGGCCUAACACAUGCCAGUCGAGCGGUAGAGAGAAGCUUGCUUCUCUUGAGAGCGGCGGACGGGUGAGUAAUGCCUAGGAAUCUGCCUGGUAGUGGGGGAUAACGUUCGGAAACGGACGCUAAUACCGCAUACGUCCUACGGGAGAAAGCAGGGGACCUUCGGGCCUUGCGCUAUCAGAUGAGCCUAGGUCGGAUUAGCUAGUUGGUGGGGUAAUGGCUCACCAAGGCGACGAUCCGUAACUGGUCUGAGAGGAUGAUCAGUCACACGGGAACUGAGACACGGUCCAGACUCCUACGGGAGGCAGCAGUGGGGAAUAUUGGACAAUGGGCGAAAGCCUGAUCCAGCCAUGCCGCGUGUGUGAAGAAGGUCUUCGGAUUGUAAAGCACUUUAAGUUGGGAGGAAGGGCAGUAAAUUAAUACUUUGCUGUUUUGACGUUACCGACAGAAUAAGCACCGGCUAACUCUGUG